UUAACAAUCAUACGUUACAGAAUGGAACAACGUAUGCGGUGUCCCAAAGGAUUCAAUAAUUUCCCGGAGAUUCGUGAUGGCGACAUUGAAAAACAUAUUUUAAUCAGAUGGCAAGGAAUUGACAAAGAGCAUAAGCUUGAGCUUUAAAGGAAGACGGGAAGGAUUUAUUGAGACUAUCCGGACGCCCUGUCCCACAGACACCCUAUUAUGGGCCAACCUGUUCUAUCCUCGAUCUGGGAUUUAGCGAAUGGAUUCAGAUCUACCUACGCUCGCAAAUCUGCGGCUGAGAAUGUGCCCAAUGGUUUACCAUUCAUAUCUGAGACCUCGUAGGAACUAGUACCCUUCCUGGCCAUAAUGAUGCAGGGUGUAUAAAUCGGUCCUAGCUUCGCAUUGAAGUCCUUAACCGCGGAAGAUUGAAGAAAAGUGCGUUUGAACACUCGUUGACCCACAGUAAAAGUAGGUGUGUUCGCAGUGUUCUUUCCAGUUGAUUACGCGACCCAUUUACUGGAAUCUUGCGUAUCUUCAGUUCAUAUUCCAACUCAUCUAUUGUUAAGUGAGCGGCAUUCAUAGCUCGAUAUUGCGACACAAAAUGAGACAUCGCCAUUUUUGAGGACUGCUUGCACAAAAGGACACCAGGACAAUGAAUAAUACAGAAUUUAAAAAAAUAACACUUUUAUUUCAUACACAAUUAUACAAUUUAAAAACACGAUCAAUGAAAUACUGUUACAAAUAGAUUAAAAAUUGUUGUAAAUUUAAAAAAAAAAUAGAAUAUUGAAUUAAUAUUAUUUUUGACUAGUAUAAGUAAAGAU